UUUUUUCAGUGCAUCCAUCAUCUAGUUGUACUUCUUCUAACUUAUCAACAGUUGAUUGUGGUUCUGCGCAUUCUUCUUCAUCUUUUAAGGCUUUUAAAUAGGCUGGUAACUUGCCCUUUAAUUUCUAUUCUUCCUUUUUCACCGUUUCUUCCCUUUUUUUCCACUUGUCUCACUUCCCUCAACAAGACACAACAUUUUUUGGCAUCCCUUUAUGUUGAUAGUGUAAGUUCUGCAUGGUGAUUGACACCUUAACCCUUGAUGCAGGGUUGAAGCUACCCCUUGCAUUCUGUGCACCCAUGACCUUCCCAUGAGGGAAUUGCACUGGGGUGCGCUCGGCUGCUGUUACGUUCAAUCAAUUGCUCCUUUUGGUACCAUGUUUGUGCUAUUAAAUGAGAGGAUAUGGAAAAUGGAUGCCCUCAGGCUUUCUUCUGCUUAAUCACUAGUGCAUCAUCAUGGGGCAGGUUCACUUUCUUCAAAUCAUCUUCAGUGAAGGUAAUCGGGUGUGCUGGGAAAUAUCGUUCAGCCUGAUUCACGUAAUUAACUGAAUGAUGUAGAUAACACAUUCUCUUUACACUUUCUUCGGUCCUUUUCUCAAAUUUCAUCUUUGUUUCUCUUUCUAUUGAGGGUUUUGCGUACCCAAAUAUCAUAUGGAUUUGUUUUAACUGUUGUUGAGGUUGCUCUUCUAUUACUACUUGUGGCUGCGCAUUUGGUUCAACUACUGCUUGAGUGGGUGACUUUGGCGAUGCUUGAUGUUGUGUUGUUAUAUUCUGAGUAGUUUUGAUAUACUGGGACAACCCUUCCAUUCUUAAGAUGCAUUGCACUUGGUUGUUCAAUGAUCUACAUUCCGUUAACGUAUGGCCCACAUCUUUGUGGAACACACAAUAUUUGGUAUGAUCUCCCCAUUUUACUGGUUAGGUUAUUUUAAAUGGCUCCCUCCAAUUUGGUUUA